rnacentral:piRNA from 1 species
UGAGUUGACCAAUAGAACCACCCUCUAGGU